AGGGUAUCUGAAUAUGAUAAAACAUUAAAGUUAUGGGAGGUGUUACAGACAAGGUUUGCCACAUGAAUAAGGAAAGUCAAAGAUGGAAUUCUAAUGUUUGUCCAACAGUGAUAAGGAAAAUGAACCGCUUUGGAAAGAAUAUGAGGGUCAAGGAAAUGUGUUUGAAGCUAGAUGAGGAUGUGAAAAUUACAUGAUGAUUUGUCUGGGAUUCCAUGUGUGCAUACAAUUAUUGGAAUUAAUUUCAUCCAUCAAACACCUUAUGUAUAUAUUAAUUAAUACUUUCCUAAAGAUAAACUUCUUGAAUGUUACUCUUCAAACAUACAACAUGUUAAUGGAAACAACCUUUGGCUCCAAACUCAUUACAUUAAGCCCUUGCCCCCCCCCCCCCCAUUGGCAAUGAGGAUGGUGGUUCUUCUUCGUCUGCAAAUCUAGUCACUUUGGAGUAGCUGGUUAGGUAGAAAGGGGGUGUAGUGGGGAUGAUAUAGGUUGCCACUUUUGUAAACAUGUUUUGGCAUUUUUGUUAGUACACCCGUUGAUUGCAUCGUACUUCCACUUGUUCUUUUCUUACCAUUUUAGGAUGCCUUUUUUGUGAAUUGCUUAGGCAUUUUAGUACAAAUGGAUGGCUGCUACAUAUUGGUAUUAUGGAAUUUAACUAUAUGUAAU